rnacentral:rRNA from 1 species
AGCCUGACGGCUGAACCAGCAACUUGGAGGAAUGUAUAGUGAGAACUAAUUGCACAAUAAUUAUUUGGUGCAAUAUCGACUCUGUUGAAUAAAAUUCUGGGUGGAAUUAUGAUAAUGACAUUGUCUGCCCAUGUGUCUUGACCAAAUUACGUGCCAGCAGUCGCGGUAAUACGUAGAAGACUAGUGUUAUUCAUCUUUAAUAGGUUUAAAGGGUACCUAGACAGUAAAUCAAGCCAUAGAAGGGACUAGUUUGCUAGAGUUACUUAUGAGGGGGUUGAAAUGUACUAGUGGUGUAGAGAUAAAAUUUGUUGAUACCUUUUUCCUAGAGAAGACAUAUGGCACAGAUAUAGGCGAAAGCGUCUCCUUAUGUGAUAACUGACGUUGAGGGACGAAGGCUUCUGGUAACAAACAGGAUUAGAUACCCUGGUAGUCGGAGCAGAAAAUGAUGAGUGUCAUAGAUUAGAUUUUUUUUUAUUCUAUAAAUGAAAGUGUAAGCAUUCCACCUCAAGAGUAAUUUGGCAACAUUGGAACUGAAAUCAUUAGACCGUUUCUGAAACCAGUAGUGAAGUAUGUUGUUUAAUUUGAUAGUCCGCAAAAAACCUUACCAUAACCUUAAUUGCCCGAAUUCUUAAUAGAUAUUGGGUAUCUUUGAUUUAAAUAAAAGCGUUGCACGGCUGUCUUCAGUUAAUGUCGUGAGACUCUGGUUAGUUCCAUAAAAUUAACGUAAACCCUUACUUUAUUUUUACAUAAAGUUGUUCCCCACUAGAUUGGAUAUGAUAACAGGGAUCAAGACAAGUCAUCAUGGCCUA